AGGUCUGUGGCAAAACACCCAGAUGGAGAAGUGCUUGGGUGCUAAGGUGUAGACCACCCCCUGGUGCCCAUGCUCCUCGGCGUUGUCCUGUGCAGCUCCCCUCCCUCUGCAGGCCUGCUCUCCCUUUCACCUGGCCACUUGCUAGCUCUGUGAUUGAGCUGUGACUUUCAGCUCUCAUUGUGUUGUUUCGCACUCCGCCCGUUACUCUUGGCUGAAGGGCAUUUGCUCCCUGCACGAAGUGAUCUGCCUCAGUGUGGGCUCAGGCUCACAGAGGUCUCCAUAGCAUCUGCUGGCUCUGACCUGCCACUGGUACCUAUUUUAAAAUCUGAAUUAACAUAUACUGUGCGGGCAGUGAGCAGAGAAGAAAAUACUUCAGAAGCUCCUGCUUUGGAGGUGUCCCUUCAAAUUUGGGGCAGGGAGAAUUUGCACCUGUACCUCUGCAGACACAGCAUGAUGCCAG